CCUGACCCAGCAAUGCCGCGUGAAGGAAGAAGGCUUUCGGGUUGUAAACUUCUUUUGUCAGGGAAGAAACAAAUGACGGUACCUGACGAAUAAGCCMCGGCUAACUACGUGCCAGCAGCCGCGGUAAUACGUAGGUGGCAAGCGUUAUCCGGAUUUACUGGGUGUAAAGGGCGUGUAGGCGGGACUGUAAGUCAGGCGUGAAAACUAGGAGCUCAACUUCUAGCCUGCGUUUGAAACUGCAGUUCUUGAGUGUCGGAGAGGUAAUCGGAAUUCCUAGUGUAGCGGUGAAAUGCUYAGAUAUUAGGAGGAACACCAGUGGCGAAGGCGGAUUACUGGACGAUAACUGACGCUGAGGCGCGAAAGCGUGGGGAGCAAMCAGGAUUAGAUACCCUGGUAGUCCACCSCUGUAA
rnacentral:rRNA from 1 species